rnacentral:rRNA from 1 species
UAAGGAAUAUUGGGCAAUGGAGGCAACUCUGACCCAGCCAUGCCGCGUGGAGGAUGAAGGUCCUCUGGAUUGUAAACUUCUUUUAUAUGGGACGAAAAAGGGCCUUUCCAGGUCAACUGACGGUACCAUAUGAAUAAGCACCGGCUAACUCCGUGCCAGCAGCCGCGGUAAUACGGAGGGUGCAAGCGUUAUCCGGAUUCACUGGGUUUAAAGGGUGCGUAGGUGGGUUGGUAAGUCAGUGGUGAAAUCUCCGAGCUUAACUUGGAAACUGCCAUUGAUACUAUCAGUCUUGAAUAUUGUGGAGGUCAGCGGAAUAUGUCAUGUAGCGGUGAAAUGCUUAGAUAUGACAUAGAACACCAAUUGCGAAGGCAGCUGGCUACACAUAUAUUGACACUGAGGCACGAAAGCGUGGGGAUCAAACAG